rnacentral:rRNA from 2 species
AUGGUUAAGUUAGAAAGGGCGCACGGUGAAUGCCUUGGCACUAGGAGCCGAUGAAGGACGGGACUAACACCGAUAUGCUUCGGGGAGCUGUAAGUGAGCUUUGAUCCGGAGAUUUCCGAAUGGGGAAACCCACUGUUCGUAAUGGAACAGUAUCUUUAUCUGAAUACAUAGGAUAUUGAAGGCAGACCCGGGGAACUGAAACAUCUAAGUACCCGGAGGAAGAGAAAGCAAAUGCGAUUUCCUGAGUAGCGGCGAGCGAAACGGAAUUAGCCCAAACCAAGAGGCUUGCCUCUUGGGGUUGUAGGACACUCUAUACGGAGUUACAAAGGAACGAAGUAAAUGAAGCGACCUGGAAAGGUCCGUCGAAGAAGGUAACAACCCUGUAGUUGAAACUUCGUUCCCUCUUGAGUGGAUCCUGAGUACGGCGGAACACGUGAAAUUCCGUCGGAAGCUGGGAGGACCAUCUCCCAAGGCUAAAUACUACCUAGUGACCGAUAGUGAACCAGUACCGUGAGGGAAAGGUGAAAAGCACCCCGGAAGGGGAGUGAAAGAGAUCCUGAAACCGUGUGCCUACAAGUAGUCAGAGCCCGUUAAUGGGUGAUGGCGUGCCUUUUGUAGAAUGAACCGGCGAGUUACGAUCCCAUGCAAGGUUAAGCUGAUAAGGCGGAGCCGUAGCGAAAGCGAGUCUGAAUAGGGCGUUUAGUAUGUGGUUGUAGACCCGAAACCAGGUGAUCUACCCAUGUCCAGGGUGAAGUUCAGGUAACACUGAAUGGAGGCCCGAACCCACGCACGUUGAAAAGUGCGGGGAUGAGGUGUGGGUAGCGGAGAAAUUCCAAUCGAACCUGGAGAUAGCUGGUUCUCUCCGAAAUAGCUUUAGGGCUAGCCUCAUGUUGUGAGAGUCUUGGAGGUAGAGCACUGAUUGGACUAGGGGCCCCCAACGGGUUACCGAAUUCAGUCAAACUCCGAAUGCCAAAGACUUAUCCAUGGGAGUCAGACUGCGAGUGAUAAGAUCCGUAGUCAAAAGGGAAACAGCCCAGACCACCAGCUAAGGUCCCCAAGUAUACGUUAAGUGGAAAAGGAUGUGGAGUUGCUUAGACAACCAGGAUGUUGGCUUAGAAGCAGCCACCAUUUAAAGAGUGCGUAAUAGCUCACUGGUCGAGUGACUCUGCGCCGAAAAUGUACCGGGGCUAAACGUAUCACCGAAGCUGUGGAUUGACAUCUUUGAUGUCAGUGGUAGGAGAGCGUUCUAAGUGCUGUGAAGUCAGACCGUAAGGACUGGUGGAGCGCUUAGAAGUGAGAAUGCCGGUAUGAGUAGCGAAAGACAAGUGAGAAUCUUGUCCACCGAAUGCCUAAGGUUUCCUGAGGAAGGCUCGUCCGCUCAGGGUUAGUCGGGACCUAAGCCGAGGCUGAAAAGCGUAGGCGAUGGCCAACAGGUUGAUAUUCCUGUACCACCUCCCCGCCGUUUGAGUAAUGGGGGGACGCAGUAGGAUAGGGUAAGCGCGCUGCUGGAUAUGCGCGUUCAAGCAGUUAGGCUGAUGAGUAGGCAAAUCCGCUCAUCAUAAAGGCUGAGCUGUGAUGACGAGGGAAUUAUAGUACCGAAGUUCCUGAUUCCACACUGCCAAGAAAAGCCUCUAGCGAGGCGGGAGGUGCCCGUACCGCAAACCGACACAGGUAGGCGAGGAGAGAAUCCUAAGGUGAUCGAGAGAACUCUCGUUAAGGAACUCGGCAAAAUGACCCCGUAACUUCGGGAGAAGGGGUGCUCUGGUAGGGUGUAUAGCCCGAGAGAGCCGCAGUGAAUAGGCCCAGGCGACUGUUUAGCAAAAACACAGGUCUCUGCGAAGCCGCAAGGCGAAGUAUAGGGGCUGACGCCUGCCCGGUGCUGGAAGGUUAAGAGGAGGGGUUAUCCUUUGGGAGAAGCUCUGAAUCGAAGCCCCAGUAAACGGCGGCCGUAACUAUAACGGUCCUAAGGUAGCGAAAUUCCUUGUCGGGUAAGUUCCGACCCGCACGAAAGGCGUAACGAUCUGGGCACUGUCUCAACGAGAGACUCGGUGAAAUUAUAGUACCUGUGAAGAUGCAGGUUACCCGCGACAGGACGGAAAGACCCCGUGGAGCUUUACUGUAGCCUGAUAUUGAAUUUUGGUACAGCUUGUACAGGAUAGGUAGGAGCCUGAGAAGCCGGAGCGCUAGCUUCGGUGGAGGCGUCGGUGGGAUACUACCCUGGCUGUAUUGAAAUUCUAACCCGCGGCCCUGAUCGGGCCGGGAGACAGUGUCAGGUGGGCAGUUUGACUGGGGCGGUCGCCUCCUAAAAUGUAACGGAGGCGCCCAAAGGUUCCCUCAGAAUGGUUGGAAAUCAUUCGUAGAGUGUAAAGGCACAAGGGAGCUUGACUGCGAGACCUACAAGUCGAGCAGGGACGAAAGUCGGGCUUAGUGAUCCGGUGGUUCCGCAUGGAAGGGCCAUCGCUCAACGGAUAAAAGCUACCCCGGGGAUAACAGGCUUAUCUCCCCCAAGAGUCCACAUCGACGGGGAGGUUUGGCACCUCGAUGUCGGCUCAUCGCAUCCUGGGGCUGUAGUCGGUCCCAAGGGUUGGGCUGUUCGCCCAUUAAAGCGGUACGCGAGCUGGGUUCAGAACGUCGUGAGACAGUUCGGUCCCUAUCCGUCGUGGGCGUAGGAAAUUUGAGAGGAGCUGUCCUUAGUACGAGAGGACCGGGAUGGACACACCGCUGGUGUACCAGUUGUCUUGCCAAAGGCAUCGCUGGGUAGCUAUGUGUGGACGGGAUAAGUGCUGAAAGCAUCUAAGCAUGAAGCCCCCCUCAAGAUGAGAUUUCCCAUAGCGCAAGCUAGUAAGAUCCCUGAAAGAUGAUCAGGUUGAUAGGUCAGAGGUGGAAGCGUGGCGACAUGUGUAGCUGACUGAUACUAAUCGAUCGAGGACUUAACCAAA